rnacentral:rRNA from 1 species
AUGAACGCUGGCGGCGUGCCUAAUACAUGCAAGUCGAGCGAACGGACGAGAAGCUUGCUUCUCUGAUGUUAGCGGCGGACGGGUGAGUAACACGUGGAUAACCUACCUAUAAGACUGGGAUAACUUCGGGAAACCGGAGCUAAUACCGGAUAAUAUUUUGAACCGCAUGGUUCAAAAGUGAAAGACGGUCUUGCUGUCACUUAUAGAUGGAUCCGCGCUGCAUUAGCUAGUUGGUAAGGUAACGGCUUACCAAGGCAACGAUGCAUAGCCGACCUGAGAGGGUGAUCGGCCACACUGGAACUGAGACACGGUCUAGACUCCUACGGGAGGCAGCAGUAGGGAAUCUUCCGCAAUGGGCGAAAGCCUGACGGAGCAACGCCGCGUGAGUGAUGAAGGUCUUCGGAUCGUAAAACUCUGUUAUUAGGGAAGAACAUAUGUGUAAGUAACUGUGCACAUCUUGACGGUACCUAAUCAGAAAGCCACGGCUAACUACGUG